rnacentral:sRNA from 1 species
GGUUAAAACUUUAUGA